GUCCAUAGCCUCUUUCCAUUUAGUAGACUCAGUGUAACAGCCCAAAAUCUCAAGUAUUGCUAAGUUGCAUUUUGGGGGUGUUUUAAAGGGGAGACUCGACGAGUUGGAGCCAGACUCGCCGAGUAGGGUCGCAGGUUUGGUCGCGGGUUCACGACUGGACUCGACGAGUCCAGAUAUGGACUCGGCGAGUCGACGCUGUUCAGCGGAAACCCUAGCCGUUCAGUAUUGGGUUGUAUAUAAGGGUUAUUAUGCCGUCAUUUCACGACUUUUGAUCGAUUGGGAAGAACCCUAGGCGACUGGGGCGGCUAGAGCAAGCUUGAAGGCCAUUGGUGACCUUGAAGGAAUUGUGGUGCAAGGAGGAGAAGGGUUUUAGCUAAAGGAACUGCAGGGAGUUCGAGUUCUGAAGUUUGGGGACAUGGAAGGUACAUCAUUCAGGUAAUAAUUCGGAUUACAUUCUCCUGUGAUUGAUGUGUAUAUAGAUUUAGNAGGUAAUAAUUCGGAUUAUAUUCUCCUGUGAUUGAUGUGUAUAUAGAUUUAGGGUUUAUGGAACCCAUUUGGAGUCUAGAUGGAUUGUUGUGUUGUUAUUCAACAUUUAUAACCUUGUAGUAGGACCCUUAGAGGUCCAGAAGGUCCCAUGUUUGUAUAUUCAAGAAUAUAUGUAUCUCAGGAAGCAGUUCGAUCGACUGCAUGGCGUAGACUCGCCGAGUCGGAUGAUCAGACUCGGCGAGUAGCUUGAAGAUUCACUGGGACUCGCCGAGUUUGUUCUUCAGGCUCGGCGAGUAGAGUCGGGGUGGCCCCGCGAUUCUUCCACGAGGACCUCGUCGAGUCAAGAGGGAUACUCGACGAGUAGAAAGGGAUCAUGCAGGAAUUGGUGAGGACGACUAGACUCGCCGAGUCGCCAGGGUACUCGCCGAGUCCAGUCGAGAUGGCCAUUGACCCGAGUUGACCUGUGUGUAACGUUUUAGGGUCAGUUAACGUGGAAGAUAGAAGUAUUAAAAAGAGAUAUAUGAUGAGACAGGGAGCUUGUAGCUCGGAGGAUCAAGUGCAAGAGAUUUCAGGAGUUGCUAUCUUCCAGUGUCCGCGAGGUGAGUCUUCUCACUAUACUGUACCCGGAAGGGUUUGACUGUGUGACCGGAAGGUCGGAUAUGAUAUGUGAUAUGUAUGCUAUAUGUGGUAAGUUAUUUGUUAUGUGUGCUAUGUAUGUUAUGGGCCGGAAGGCGAUUAUAUUAUGGGCCGGAAGGCAAUAUGUUAUGGGCCGGAAGGCGAUAUGAUGUGUGAUGGACCGGAAGGUCGGCGUGGGUAAGGCCGGAAGGUUUACCCAGCAGGGACGGAAGUCCCCUGAGACACAUGGACCGGAAGGUCGGGCCUGGAAAGGCGUAUUUGCGUAAGUUGUAUAUUGGGGAACUCACUAAGCUUCGUGCUUACAGUAUUUAUGUUAUGUUGUUUCAGGUUCUUUCAGUAACGCGGAAUGGCAUCGGCUCGAUUGUACACACCGAGGAAAGAGUUGUAUUUUGGAGGAUCCUGGUUGUCUAUUCAAAUGAAAAUGGAACUAUGUUUUGUAAUUCGAAUAUGAAUAAGAUUUUAAACAAGUGUUUUAAUAUUAAAUUGAUUAUUUAAAUGAAAAAUUUUGCUUUGAAAAUCACGGUGUUACAAUUGGUAUCAGAGCCUUGGUUUGAGGGAUUCGGACGCGCCUACGGGUGAGUCUGGACUCAAACUGAGGAAUUAAGAAAAGGUUUUCAAAUAAAUAGUUUUCUAAAAGUGAAUAAGAGUUCAAAGAGAAAGCAAGAAAGAGCAGUGUGUACAAUCAGCCAGAGCCAAACGGUGAUUUCCCAAAAUACCCUUACUUUUGUAUUAUGAAAUAUCUAUUAUGCACUUUAUGAGACAUUAUUGCAUGCUAGAGACAGGCUAGGUAUUUCACAUCUUAGGACUAGAGUGGCCUGAUUUGUGAUGCCUUAGUCUAGGGUUUGCUGUUAUAUGUGCGUUAUGCUUUUGUGUGUAUGUGAUGAGUGAGAGUAUCUAGUUAGAACGCACAAGGGGUAAAGCUACGGGGUACAGAGGUACUUCCGAGGAUGAGCCGAGAAGGUGGAGCUACCACAGAUGGGGAGUCCUAUGUAUGCUUCAAUGCUCGAAUGCUGCUUGCUUUGUGCUUUGUGGAGUUAUCGAUGAUGGGAGUCAGCUACUAAGUGAGUAUGACGAUACUCAGGAGGUAGAGGGCUGGCAUCAUUAGGAACUCUUCAGCAGCUGAUAGCAAAGAAGUGGGAGGACAGCGGAAGGGACUAGGGAGUAAACCUAGCCAGAUGAGUGCGCUGGUAGAGUAGAGGAUUUCGCUGGAAAGCGAGCACGCGCGAUGAGAUGGGUGAAAGAGCAGGUUUAUCAGCUACUUAGGAACUCUGGGAUGGUCCGUGUGGAAAGUAUGGGUAGAUGUGGCAGGUAGUAUGGGCCCGUACUACUGAAAGCAGAGGACCCAUACUUGAUACAGGGGGCAUUCUGAAGGUCCUAAGGAACAGAUUGAGGGGUGAUGUUAUGGUUCGGAUACCAUACAUCGGAGCGGAUACAGAGUGAUGUUAUGGUCCGGGCACCAUACAUCGGAACAGAUUGAGAUAGAUGUUGUGGUCCGAGUGCUAUACAUUGGAGCAGAUUGAGGAGUGGUGCUAUGGUUCAGGUACCAUACACCGAAGCAUGUUGAGGAGGGAUGUCAUGGGAUGAGUACCAUGGUUCGUAGUGGAUGAUGCUUGUGGCUAUCUUGUUAUCCGGUUAUCGAUCGGACGAGCACGAGCGAGCGGGAUGCGAGGAUUCGCGAGAUCCUGCGUGAUGAGGUUGCUGCAUUGUUGCGGGCUGAGUCGCCAGAAUUGUUUGGGUCGAUCAGGACCACUAUGAUUGAAGUAGUUUGAUGAGCGAUAUGCGGCUUUCGCAGAGACGGCUGCCGCGGCGGUUACAGCGGCUGUAGCAACGGCAAAGAAAGGGGCUAGUCGGGGUUUUCAGUAUCGGGACUUCUAUUAUGCGAAGCCUCCCACAUUCGAUGGAGUUCAGGACUCGAUUGUUGCUAUGAGAUGGUUAUCAGACAUGGAGGGGUGUUUCUCCACGAGUUUAUGCCCUGCUGAUCAGAGGGUGGGGUGUGCUCUGAACCUGUUGAGGCUCGGGGCGAAGGAUUGGUGGAGAUUGACCACGAGGUCAUUUUCCGAUGCGCAGAGGGCUGCGGUUUCAUGGGAUCAAUUCAGAGGGAUGUUCAGUACUCGCUAUGUUCCGCGGGAUGAAAAGGAGAAAUUGGCUCGGAAGUUCCUUAAGCUGAAGCAGGAUUUGGAGUCGGUGACUGAGAGCACCGGGAUGUUUAUUGAGAGGGCGAUGUUUUGCCCUGAGUUCGCUUCGGAGCAGGCUCAGAUGUCCCGAUAUCCGAGUAUGCUCAAGGGGGGGUAUCAGACAGUUCGUGUCUGCGCAGAGGCGCGAGACCGUGUUGGUAUCGCAGGAGGCCGCCAUGUGGCGUGAGUUAGAGGUUGAGUUGCAGUUGCGUGAGAUGAGGCAGGCCCCGAUGCAGUCGCAGUCGGCGCCGAAACGGUCCAUGACCGUAGACGUUAGAAUGGGGGAUCGGAGCGGUCACACUUGUGGGAAGUGUGAGAGAGAUGGCACCGGAGCUUGUUGGCCCAGUGGUGCAUGCCGCAAGUGCGGAAAGGAGGGGCAUGGUGCACGGGAUUGUCGGCAGUCAGUGCCAAUUCGGGAUUUCAGGAUUUGUUAUCAGUGUCGGCAGGUUGGACAUUUGAGGGUCAACCGUCCACAGUUUCCUGCAGGACCGGUGCAGGCUCUAGCAUCGGCCACCUUGAGGAGUUCAGGAGGAGGACAGGAUGGAGCAGAGCCCAAGGGCUCAGGGUCGUGCUUAUCGGCUUGCGGCAGAGGGAGACGGAGCAGUGCCGGAGGCAGCUGCGGGUAUGAUGCUCUCUUGAUGUCUUGAGUAGCUUGCGUUGAUUGUGGCGUAUUGUUUGUGCUGGUGUCUGGUGUGGAUUUCGAUGCGGUAUUCGUUGUUUCGCGGGUUUGGCAUGGUUAUGGAUUGGUGCUUCAGGUUUUCGCUUGGCAUUCGUUGUUCCCUGAUGGUUUAGUAUGAUUAUAGUUUGGUGUUUUGGUACCGGUAGCCUUGUGCGGUUUUCGAUGCGAUAUUCAACCUUUGGCAGGUUGUGGGUUUGGUUAUGGGUUAUUGCUUGGGAAUUCCGUUGGUCAUCGUUCGUGAGGGUUGAUAGUGGAGAUGCGGCACUGGGUUGAAUGACGGGUAGCAUCUGCAGUUGUGGAGUGGAUAAUUGAAAGAUCGGAUUCUUUUGAGCGGAUUGAUCAGGGAGGAGAUGUGUUUUGCUGAGGGUUGCUUACGCUUGUGGGAAGCAGUCAGUGGGUAAAUGUUCUCUUUGUGCAGGAUGGUUCUGAAAGGUCGUUAAUGACGAUCGGUGGCAGUUAGUCAGUGCUUUAGUGGGGGAGAAUUGUAAAAUUCUCCGGGAGAUCGAUGAGUAUGUAAGGGUGCUUAGCUGUUGGGAUUCAGCAGUGUUUGUCAGCGCAAAGUAUAGGCCGACGAGAGCGAGUGUUGGGUAUGCGGGGCGAGAUACAGACCUAGGGCAUUUGAUUGUGGAGGCCUGAGAGGAGGUCGGGAUCAAGCUUGAGUAAGUAAUCGGAAUUUUGCGAUCAGAGUAUUGGUACGUUUGAGGUACGUGAUGGGUUGUACUGCAUUAAUCCCACGGGAUUAUGUUGUGCAUGUUUCUAGAGCUGGAACCGGAAGGUUCCCAGAGUUAGAACCUGAGGGUUCGCAGAGUUUGGGUGUACGGACCCACAGAGAUAUAGCCUCGAGUGGCUAGUAUGUGUUAUGAGAGUCGGUCCAGUCAUACUGGAGACUCUGUUGGUAUUGCUGGAUUAGUUUGAGAUUUGCGGAUCGCGUAUGUUGCAGUGUGAUUGCAUUGGAAGGUCUGGCCCCGGGUUAUUGAUCUUGUUUAGCGGAGGCAGUGAUUUUGAUGAGUGGAGAGAGUGCAUGGGAUUGAGAGCCCCUGCAAUGAGAACCAGAGUAUGUGAAUAGCAGUUACGCAAAAAGGGUGGUGUCGCUUGGGGCGAGCACCGUGGCACCGGUUGGAGUGGCAUUAUGUUCAAGAGAGUUCCGUGGAAAAGGAAAAGAGGAGGGUAUGUAACUCCGAAGGGGGUGCAAGUUCACGAAAGUGAAAGCUGCAGAGCAGAGUUAUGGUUAGAGUAUUUCGAGUAUGGUUUUGAGCAUCGUGUUCGCGGCAGUGGAGUAGGAACCCAUCCGGUUGGGAUGUCUGUUGAGGCUCAGAAGGGAUGCAUGGAGAGAGAAAAUUUUAAAUUCUCAGUGUGAAUCUGAUCAGAGUGUAGGGUGGAUGUAGUGGUUCAUCUUGGGAGAUGUUCGAGGAUAUCAUCAGUGUAUCGGGUCUUUCCACCUGCGGGUGUUGGGACUAGUUCAGUAUGUGUAUGUGAUGGCAAGAGGGAACUUGUGAGAGUUGAUCUGAGAGGGAGAACGGAUCUCUCAGUCGGUCCGGAAUGGGCAAAGUGGGCUUUGGAUCGGGGAUCCGGUGGUUCAGGGUUUCCUAACCCUUAUGGGUUGAGUGAUCGUUGAGAUUUGGAGCAGAGUGCAUCUUGGGUAAUUUCCGAUUACAGAGAGUGAUGAGCAGUUCAGAGUUCGUACUUUAGUUGACAAAGCAGACUCAGCAGGUUAAAGAGAGUUAGUGAUCGUCUAGAGUUAACAGGAAAGUUAUGCAGGCAGACGCCGUUACGAGCAUGUGAUUCAGGUCAGCGACUUCGUAUUUCUGACGGGGUGCUUCGAUUUAGGAAGAGGGGUAAAUGGGGGGCCCCGGUAUGUUGGGUCUUUUCGUGAAGGUGCGAAGGUAGGAAGGGUGGCCUAUCGUUUGGAGCUGUCAACGGAAUUGGGACGGAUCCAUGACACUGGUAUGUGUCGCAGUUGAAGAGGUGUAUAGCGGAUGAGUCAGCAGUGGUUCUACUAGAGAACGAUUAGGUGGAUGCGAGCCUGUGUUACGUCGAGAGGCCAGUGGCCGUCGGAGAUCGGAAGAUCAAGGUUCUGAGGAACAAGGAGGUACCUCUGGUAUUGGUUCAGUAGCGGCCUCGGGAGAGAUCGGUAGUGUCUAGGGAAGCCGAAACGUGAGAUGCGGGAGCAGCAGCCAGAGCUAUUUUCAGAGUGAGACUUCGAGGGCGAAGUCUAAUUCUAGUGGGGGAGAAUUGUAACAGCCCAAAAUCUCAAGUAUUGUUAAGUUGCAUUUUGGGGGUGUUUUAAAGGGGAGACUCGACGAGUUGGAGCCAGACUCGCCGAGUAGGGUCGCAGGUUUGGUCGCGGGUUCACGACUGGACUCGACGAGUCCAGAUAUGGACUCGGCGAGUCGACGCUGUUCAGCGGAAACCCUAGCCGUUCAGUAUUGGGUCGUAUAUAAGGGUUAUUAUGCCGUCAUUUCACGACUUUGGAUCGAUUGGGAAGAACCCUAGGCGACUGGGGCGGCUAGAGCAAGCUUGAAGGCCAUUGGUGACCUUGAAGGAAUUGUUGUGCAAGGAGGAGAAGGGUUUUAGCUAAAGGAACUGCAGGGAGUUCGAGUUCUGAAGUUUGGGGACAUGGAAGGUACAUCAUUCAGGUAAUAAUUCGGAUUACAUUCUCCUGUGAUUGAUGUGUAUAUAGAUUUAGGGUUUAUGGAACCCAUUUGGAGUCUAGAUGGAUUGUUGUGUUGUUAUU
rnacentral:lncRNA from 1 species